UCCCUGGUGGCUCAGAUGGUAAAGCAUCUGCCGGCAAUGCGGGAGAUCCAGGUUCGAUCCCUGGGUUGGGAA
rnacentral:tRNA from 1 species